GCAGACGUGCCGAAGUGUUAAGGCGAUGGACUAGAAAUCCAUUGGGGUCUCCCCCGCUCAGUUCGAAUCCUGUUGACUGCG
rnacentral:tRNA from 2 species